UUUUUUUUUUUUUAAAGAAACAUAGCCACUGCAGGAAAACUUCCAAAUUUUUUUCACUUUUUCCUAGUGCUUCCUAAUAUUUAAAAGGUUUUUCAGCUAAUUAGAGAUUCCUGAAUAAAUGGGCAUGAUACAUAAGGAUAAUAUGUUUUUUGUUUGUCUGGUAAAUAUUUGCUGAAUGAAUCACAAUGAACAAAUGAAAACAUUUAUAAAAGGAUAAGUCGCUAUUAUGAAUCAGGUGGGUUUUGAUAUAUACAAAAGUUACCCAUUUUCAUGAGCAUGAUUUCUGAGAAUUACUGGUAUUGAUUCUAUUUUAAUGAAAGACAAAUAAGUAGAGCUGCCUCUCUACUCCAUGCAGGCAAAGGAAAGUUAAAAAGUAAAGCAAUUAUCUGGAUAAUUCCGACAAAAAACCAACUAUUGAGAGAAAGGAAGCCCUCCUUUUUCCUGGCCCAAAUUCAUUUGAGCCAUCCAAUAACAUGACCCACUAGAGUGGAAUUUGGCAUUCAAGAGGCUUGUCUUGGCUCGUGUCCAGUGGCGUUUAGUUACUGAACUCUUUAAAGGACAUUGUUCAAACAUGGUCUCCCAUGUAACUGGGUUCUAAGGCAUGAGCUGCAAGAACCUUGACACCGCCAUGUGUCUCCAGGGUAUUCUUCCAUUGGAUCAAAUUAUCCAGAAAACACUCUCAUUCCAGUUCACCUUUCUGGGUUAGACAAAACCAAAAUGGAUUGCCCAAGACUUGCUCCACAAUAAUUACAUGCAGAUACUUGAAAGCCCUGCUGCAAAGUAUGUUAAUAAAUACGAUCCCAGUUCCUAGAUAGUAUAGAUAGAAGCAAAUAUGCCAAAGGUGACAGUUAUGUGGUAAUUCCUCACUCACCACCCUGCCUGCCGCAUUCUCUGUUCCUCUGGACACACUUUUGAUUACCGAAAGAACUGUGUUGACUUCAUGAAUGGCAGAAAUCACGACACUCAAACUAUUCUCCAUUCCAACCUUCUCUCAUGACUCUAAUUUGAUCCCUGAACACUUGUUUACCUAAUUGGGAAAAAAUACAAGGAUGUCUGGCAGAGCGUAACCGUGUUGCAGAAACAGCAACUGUGGCCUUUUGCUUGCCUUUCCUUUGCUGGCCAUGCCUGAGCAAGGUUCUCUGUAAGAUGACCUGGGCUGGGCAUUCUGCCCAUGCGCACACCUGGCAGAUGGAAUCCUCCUGUCCUUGGGAACCCGGAUACAUGCUGAGUUCCCAUUUUCUUUGACUGCAAAACAGACAAGGACCAGCUGGUUAGUGCUGACACGGCUCGCACUACUGGCGGGAACACUACUUAAGUGUUCUGCGUUUGCUCAUUAUUUAUCAAUGGGGAGAUAGUUCUCUGGAGAAAAGCAUGCCCUUUGUCUUCUGACGGAAAGUCUGUUCUUCCAAUGGGGAAUGACCUAGAAAGUAAAACCUGAUAAUUCAUUUCCCAUGUGUGAGUCCCACGUGUAAUUCCCCAUGUGUAAGUUUUCAUUUUAAAGGUUCGAGUUCAAAUAUAAGAAAUGAAUUGUGGCCCUAGAAAUUCCAGAUACUUAAGGUUUCCCUGUAGCAAUAGGAUUUUUAAUAGAUUUUAAUGCCAUCUCUCCUUGAGCAGUUUAUUUUAUCACCACUUUGAAGCAUAUAUUAUUGCUAUAAGUACUAUUAACUAUUUGAAGAUAACUUCACACUGGAAAUAAUUUUUUGCCUCUCAGCCUCAAGGGUUUAAUGCAUUCACAUAAUCCAGUGCUUUCCUGUGUGGCAACAAGGGCCUUGCAUGGACCUGCAGACUCUGGAGACAGAAAAGUGGAAAAUUAGAUGCUUAGCUAAUAAACCAGAGAGAGGGCUCUUCCGCUUUUCCAACACUAUGUGGGAAAACAUCAAAAAAUGUAAUAAUGGAAUUUUUUUAAUACCUACAUCUGAUAUUGAAAACUCUCAAGCUCUCCUCUUCCUCCUCUUCUUCUUUCUCUCCCCUUCUCUGUCUCUUUCUCUUCUCUUUUCUUAUCCUUUUUGGUCUUAUUAGAGCGAAUAUCAGGGUCCCUUUGCUCUUUGAAUUAUUCAUGUUACUCCGAUUAAUGCUGGGUUCAUAUUCAUCCAAAAAAAGCUUAUUUUUGCUUUAGUUUUUCAACCAUGAAACUAAUAGAGCAUAAUAGAAAUGUAACCGAUACUUAGCUAUUGUCCUGGAAAUAGAUCCCACUACAAUUAUAUGUAAGAGAUAUUUAAAAAUAACUGUAAAACAGGAGGGAUAUUUAUGCUCUUCUUAAGAUGAAUAGACUUAUUUAUAGGUGGAGAGACAUUCCAUAAGAUAAGCUAAAAUUAAUCAUAUUGCUGAAGUUUUCAAAGAGGUCAGAGUCCAAAUUAAAUAUAGAAGGGCAAACCGGUUUCUUCCUCUUGCGUAUUUUAAUGAAGACUAGAGAGGCUGGAGAAAUAUUUAUAUUCUUUUAUUCAUAUUUUCAGGAUUGCCUCAUGUCUCGAUUUUUUUUCAAGUCUCUCAUUUAAGUGAGGGUACUUCAAAGUGAAUAUGGGUAUUCUCAACUCCUCAUAUCUUAAUGAAGAAAAAAAGGAAGAAUUAAUGGGACUGGAAAUUUAAAAACAACAGAUGUACUAGAAGUGUGAUUACUGCCAUGAGUGAGACAUACGGGGGAGUGCCGCCACUUUAUGUAGCUAUGACUGAGGGCUGAUUGUAUCAUAGAGAAACUGGAGCCCCAGAGUCAUGCUGAGACCAUCUCUAGGCAAUGACCGCUGAUUUCCCUUGGAGGACAAGAGAUAAGGAGCUGUUUCUUCCUAAAUAAAGCUCUCUGAUUGCUUUGUGGUUAACAAGGCGCCCUGCGAAGGAUCAUGGGUAAUUCAUUUAAGGAUGAAUAUUGACUCUUUUUUUUUUUUUUUUGUCUUUUUUUAGGGCCGCACCCAUAGCAUAUGGAAGUUCCCAGGCUAGGGGUCCAAUCAGAGAUACAGCUGCCAGCCUACACCACAACUCACAGCAACGCCAGAUCUUUAACUCACUGAACAUGGCCAGGGAUCGAACCCGCAUCCUCAUGGAUGCUAAUUGGGUUUGUUAACCACUGAGCCACAGCAGGAACUCCAAGGAUGAACACUGAAAUGGGUUGUGUGGUGAGUGUGGAAAUUGUGCUCCCGAACACUGGCUGCAUUGCUUGGAUGGAAUUUAAAGGCAGAGAGGGCCCAGCUCUUGAUGUCCUCCACUGAGGGGUGGGCACAGAGAAGUGAGCUGAACUCCAGAAUCCAAGGUCAGAAAGAGACUCCCAACAGUACCCCUUGUGCUGAAGCAACAUUGCUUCCAUUCUGACCCCAGAUAUUUUUUUUUUCCUCCACAGAGCUACAUACUUCAGUCAUGACGCCUUAGGCAAGAAAGCAACGUCUUCAGACAGUGGCUGAGAUAAGAAAGACGAGGCGAAGCUGAGUCCCAGGCACAAUGGUGUGCAUGUUGAUAUCACUGAGUUAUGAACUAUUUCCUUUUAAUCCAGUUUCAAAAAGAUGACUUCCUCCAUAUGCAAUUAAUUCCACAUAUCACUACAAGGAACUGCAUAUUUUCGAACAGUAGUGUCAUCAGUAUGAAUGUUUAAACAAUCUCUGUGGUCUCUUUCCCACAAACUGAUUUAACAUGUAUAUAAAGAGGCUUUUGGAAUGAGCACUUUACAUUUGCUUCUCAAACUUCAGCGUCUGUUUUCAGUAAAUAUUGAAGAUGAAACUUUCCCCAUUCAUGCCUGGAGCACUGGCCAGUUGCAACUGAGGAAUGCAGUGCUUGGGCUUUUUCAUGAAUAAAAUUCUCUGGCUGUCAACCUAGUCUUUCUCAGGCCAUGUCAACAGGACCACAACAGGAUGGAUGUGAGAUAAAGGAUUCAUGGCAGUUGGUUGAGCUGGCCACAGAUUAUCCUAAUUAAUAUCAAGACAGUGGGAGCCUCUUGAAGCUAGGUUCAAUCCUAUAGACCACAUAACUCUGUCCAUAGUGGUUCCAGUUCACUCUUACUUCUCUGGUGUAACUAUUAAUAGUUUUUUUUCAAAAAUGUUCCAGUUUGAGCUGGAAUAUAUAUGAUUGCACUACUAAUAGCAAUACCCAUUUUAGGUCUCUGUGUCCCUGCUUUUCAUGAGUGCAGCAAAUAUGUGUUGGGGUUCUGGUCCUAAAGAUCCAUUUUAUAAGCCAAAAUCAUCAAAACUGAUGAAGAAAAUAACAUAUGAUUAAUUAAAACAGAACUAUACAAGUGGCAUAAUAAUUUAUUGACAAAUUAAGGUACCAUUUUUCUCCCCAUGUAUUUUUUUCUCUUCUUUCCCAUUUUAGGUAGGACCCAGUCCCUUGUGUACUUCCUUGCCUCAGGAAUUAUUGCAGGAUGGAAGGCACAAGCCCCUGAAAAGUCCGUGGCUCUUCCUGUUGUUUUGUAAAUGCCUAUGGCUACUAAAGAAAUAAGAAGUGCCCCAGACUCUCAGGAGGAGGGAGGAGGGAUGACGUGUGUUGGCAGGCAGAGAGUCAGAGAGUCAGAGAGAGAGGCUCCUCUGCUUAAGGAGGCAGAGGAGCAGGACUGCAGGCCCUGCUGAGAAAGUGAGCAGGGGAGGUUGUGACUUAAACCCACAACAGGAUUACCUGUGCAAUUUGGGGAUCCAGUGCAAAAUGAAACUCUGGCGCUUCUUGUUCAAAUUUCAAGAUGGCAACAGCAGAGCACUAAAACAAAUUCACCCUUUGCAAAGUCCCCUAACCCCAAAUGGUUCCACCAAAAUCCAGGGCCCCACCAUGGGCCACACAGGACAGUUGGCAGCAGUACCUUAAAAGACUGGAGACUAGAGGGCCUACCUCAACUGCCUUCAUUCCAAAUAAACCUUUUGUUUUUUCUGGUGUGACCCUGGGAAGGAGAGGGGUUCCCAUAAAGGAUGUGAUAGACAUUCUUGCCAUCUUGGAGGGAGGAUGGAGGCUAUGAGUCAGAAAGCUAAGCUGAUUUAAAGAAAUAAAGAAAUUGAUACGUUUUGCAC
rnacentral:lncRNA from 1 species